AUUGAACGCUGGCGGCAGGCCUAACACAUGCAAGUCGAACGAGUGGCGGACGGGUGAGUAAUGUCUGGGAAACUGCCUGAUGGAGGGGGAUAACUACUGGAAACGGUAGCUAAUACCGCAUACCAUCGGAUGUGCCCAGAUGGGAUUAGCUAGUAGGUGGGGUUAAGGCUCACCUAGGCGACGAGCCCUAGCUGGUCUGAGAGGAUGACCAGGCAAAGUGGAGAUGAGACACGGUCCAGACUGCUACGGGAGGCAGCAGUGGGGAAUAUUGCACAAUGGGGGCGAGCCUGAUGCAGCCGUGCCGCGUGUAUGAAGAAGGCCUUCGGGGUGUAAAGUACUUUCAGCGGGGAGGCGUUACCCGCAGAAGAAGCACCGGCUAACUCCGUGCCAGCAGCCGCGGUAAUAC
rnacentral:rRNA from 1 species